GUAUCUAGCUUAGUGGUAGAGCUUUUGCCUAGCAUGCACAAGGCCUUGGGUUCAUACCUAUCACUACA
rnacentral:tRNA from 1 species